CUGAGGAGCAGGUGAAGUCAGCACCUUGGAUAGCUCUGUCACACGGGGAAGGCCAGGCCUUGAGCAAGGCCCCCUGGCUUCAGCUCCUAACAGCUUCCACUCCUGCAAGUGUGCAGCUUUGGGUCAGAGCCCCGCGACCCCACAGCCCACCCAGAAGACGUCCUCGUGGCACGGCUGUCCCAUUGCACUUUGCCAAGUGUUGGCUGGAAGGUGGUGGGAGAGGAGUGACAGUUUGAUGAAGAAUGAAUGAAUUACUUAAUUAAGGCACAGGAUGUCUCUGGGGAAAGAACAUCUCGAUGCUGAGGGAGGAGGCUUUUUCGAUUGCCGCACUGCAAGGCACUCAGCAGCAAUGGAAGCCCCCGGUGCUGGGCCACAGCUGUGCCAUCACACCCCUGGCCCCGGGGCUGACCCUUUGCUGACAUCAGCUCACCCAGUGCCAGCUCAGCUUCCCUGCAAUGCCCUUGAUAUUUACAAGAGCUCUGUCUCCUGUGCCGCUCCCCAGGAGGGGCGUCCUGUCUUGGGCCAGCAUGACCGCCGUCUCCCUGCUGCGGAAGGGGAGGGCCCCCUUUCUGUGGGCCUUUGUCUGUCAAAUGACGGGAACCUGUCCCGAGGGGUCCAGGCUGUGUGGCCUCUGCCCAGACUACUGACCCAAGCUGGUGCCGACGAGCCUGCAAAGGCCAGCAGCUCCCACGCAGGGGCUUGUGUACUCUCAGGGUGGGGAACCGCACCUCAUACCUCCGCUCCUGGGCUCCCCCUGACCUCAACACCCCCACUCUGGUGUGGGAAAGCAGUGAGGAGGGAGGGGCAUGCCUGGGCCCCCCCGACCUUGACACCGCUACCCCCAACCCCGCUGUGGGAAAGCAGUGAGGAGGGAGGGACAUGCCUGGGCCCCCCCCGACCUUGGCACCCCCACCCCCAACCCCGCUGUGGGAAAGCAGUGAGGAGGGAGAGGCACGCUUGGGCCCCCCCCGACCUUGGCACCCCCACCCUGGUGUGGGAAAGCACUGAGGAGGGAGGGGCAUGCCUGGGCACCCCCAGCUUCCUCCGCAGCAGGGACUGGGCAGCCGUCAUGGGAAGUUCCCUUUGUCUGGCUGCUUUGAACUCUUUUCCAAGGAAAACCUAUUCAUGUUUUGCCCACGGAAUUAAAAAAUCAUUAAAAGAAAAGUGUAC